rnacentral:lncRNA from 1 species
ACUGUCAAACCAGAAACCACCCCUACUCCUAAUCCCCCUGUGAAGAGGAGAAAACAGAAUCUAAUCAGGAGGUUGCUAACCCAGAACACUAUAUUAAACAUCCUCUACAGAACAGAUGGGCACUCUGGUUUUUUUAAAAAAGAUAAAAGCAAAACUUGACAAGCAAACCUGCCGCUGAUCUCUAAGUUUGAUCCUGUUGACUUUUGGGCUCUGUACAACCAUAUCCAGUUGUCUAGUAAUUUAAUGUCUGGCUGUGACUACUCACUUUUUAAGGAUGGUGUUGAGCCCAUGUGGGAAGAUGAGAAAAACAAACAGGGAGGAUGAUGGCUAAUUUACAUUGAACAAACAGCAGAGAUGAAGGGACCUCAAUCACUUUUGGCUAGAGACUCUACUGUGUCUUAUUGGAGAAUCUUUUGAUGACUCAGUGAUGAUAUAUGUGCAGCUGUUCUUAAUGUUAGAGCUAAAGGUGAUAAGAUAGCAGUAUGGACUACUGAAUGUGAAAACAGAGAAGCUGUUACACAUAUAGAGAGGGUAUACAAGGAAAGGUUAGGACUUCCUCCAAACAUCGUGAUUGGUUAUCAGUCCCAUGCAGACACAGCUACUAAAAACAGCUCCACCACUAAAAAUAGGUUUGUUGUUUAA